rnacentral:piRNA from 1 species
CCUGAAGUGAAUCCUGGCGGAGAG